GGAAGAAAAGGCCCAUGCGUGGGACAUUGCCGGUACCGUAUGAAUAAGCACCGGCUAACUCCGUGCCAGCAGCCGCGGUAAUACGGAGGGUGCGAGCGUUGUCCGGAUUUAUUGGGUUUAAAGGGUGCGUAGGCGGCCUGUUAAGUCGGCGGUGAAAGUCUGUGGCUCAACCAUGGAACUGCCGUUGAUACUGGCUGGCUUGAGUGCCGGUGGGGUACAUGGAAUUGGUGGUGUAGCGGUGAAAUGCAUAGAUACCAUCAGGAACACCGAUAGCGUAGGCAUUGUACUUACCGGCAACUGACGCUGAGGCACGAAAGCGCGGGUAUCGAACAGGAUUAGAUACCCUGGUAGUCCGCGCCGUAAACGAUGAUCACUCGCUGUUAUGCCUAUAUGGUGUAGUGGCCAAGCGAAAGCGUUAAGUGAUCCACCUGGGGAGUACGCCCGCAAGGGUGAAACUCAAGGGAAUUGACAGGGGUCCGCACAAGCAGUGGAGCAUGUGGUUUAAUUCGAUGAUACGCUACGAACCUUACCUGGACUAGAAUG
rnacentral:rRNA from 1 species